rnacentral:rRNA from 1 species
UACGGGGGGGGUAAGCGUUGUUCGGAAUUACUGGGCGUAAAGGGCGCGUAGGCGGCCACCGCAAGUCGACUGUGAAAUCUCCGGGCUUAACCCGGAAAGGUCAGCCGAUACUGCGGGGCUAGAGUGCAGAAGGGGCAACUGGAAUUCUCGGUGUAGCGGUGAAAUGCGUAGAUAUCGAGAGGAACACCUGCGGCGAAGGCGGGUUGCUGGGCCGACACUGACGCUGAGGCGCGAAAGCCAGGGGAGCGAACGGG